AAAGCCUGACGGAGCAAUACCGCGUGAGGGACGAAGGCUUUUGGGUCGUAAACCUCUUUUCUCAAGGAAGAUAAUGACGGUACUUGAGGAAUAAGCAUCGGCUAACUCUGUGCCAGCAGCCGCGGUAAUACAGAGGAUGCAAGCGUUAUCCGGAAUGAUUGGGCGUAAAGCGUCCGCAGGUGGUUUUGUAAGUCUGCUGUUAAAGCGUGUGGCUCAACCACAUACAGGCAGUGGAAACUAUAAGACUAGAGUAUGUUAGGGGUAGAGGGAAUUCCCAGUGUAGCGGUGAAAUGCGUAGAGAUUGGGAAGAACACCGGUGGCGAAAGC
rnacentral:rRNA from 1 species